rnacentral:rRNA from 1 species
GACAGAGGUCCCGAGCGUUAGGCGGAAUCACUGGGCUUAAAGCGUGUGUAGGCGGAUGCCUAAGUACCUUGUGAAAUCCCACGGCUCAACCGUGGAACUGCUUGGUAUACUGGUUGUCUUGGGCCAUCUAGGGGCGAGCGGAACAAACGGUGGAGCGGUGAAAUGCGUAGAUAUCGUUUGGAACGCCAAUGGUGAAAACAGCUCGCUGGGGAUGUGCCGACGCUGAGACACGAAAGCCAGGGGAGCGAACGGG